rnacentral:rRNA from 1 species
GUGAACGCUGGCGGUAGGCCUAACACAUGCAAGUCGAACGGCAGCACAGUAAGAGCUUGCUCUUACGGGUGGCGAGUGGCGGACGGGUGAGGAAUACAUCGGAAUCUACUUUUUCGUGGGGGAUAACGUAGGGAAACUUACGCUAAUACCGCAUACGACCUACGGGUGAAAGUAGGGGAUCUUCGGACCUUGCGCGAUUGAAUGAGCCGAUGUCGGAUUAGCUAGUUGGCGGGGUAAAGGCCCACCAAGGCGACGAUCCGUAGCUGGUCUGAGAGGAGGAUCAGCCACACUGGAACUGAGACACGGUCCAGACUCCUACGGGAGGCAGCAGUGGGGAAUAUUGGACAAUGGGCGCAAGCCUGAUCCAGCCAUACCGCGUGGGUGAAGAAGGCCUUCGGGUUGUAAAGCCCUUUUGUUGGGAAAGAAAAGCAGCAGGUUAAUACCCCGCUGUUCUGACGGUACCCAAAGAAUAAGCACCGGCUAACUUCGUG